UGUUUAUACUGUGCAGUUUUGCCUGAUACGUUGCCGUUUCGUAGUGUAGACUGAAAGUUCUCCAUAGUAUUCUAGGGUUUUAGUUUCUUCCAAUUAACGGAUUUCUAAGCAUUCUGGCUUUCUGAAGGAGAUGUCUCGAGCAUAAGGUGAUAGGUAAGUGUUUUCUAUUAUUUUUGCAACCAUGGCGUUAAAUUUUCUUCUCAAAACUUCAAUUCAGAAUCAUGGAAGAUACACUGUUAGUGCUUCACUAAACCAUAGAUUUGAAUAUUUUUUAGAUUCAAUGUUUGUCAAAAAAAUCUCAACCAAUUCAAAUGAGCAAUCUUUUACUGUCUCUUACCUCAUUAAUUCAUGUGGGUUGUCGCCAGAAUUUGCUUUAAAAGCAUCCGAAAAAUUGCAAUUGGAAACCCCUGAAAAAGCUGAUUUAGUCCUUACCUUGUUCAAGAACAGUGGAUUCUCAGAAACCCAAAUUUCUGACCUAAUUGGAAGAUACCCAUUACUGCUUUUGUCCAAUCCUGAGAAAAACCUUCUGCCCAAACUUGAGUUUUUUCUCUCCAAAGGCUUCUCAAGUACUGAUCUUGGCACUGUUAUAAGUCGGUACCCUAAUAUCUUGGGAAGAAGCUUAAACAACCAUAUAAUACCUUCUUUUACUUAUCUAAGCAACUUACUUCAAUCUACUGAAAAGGUUAUUAGAUCAAUUAAACGCUACCCUAGUGUUCUUAAUAAUGAUCUUCAUAUUCUCGUUCAGCCCAAAUUUAAUGUUUUGCGAGAUAUUGGUGUACCUGAAAGACGUAUUAUUAGGUUAUUUCAUAUGUGGCCUCGUGUAUUCAUAAAUUAUUCUCGUCAUUUUGAUGAGGCUGUGGACUUAUUGAAGAAAAUGGGUAUGGAUCCUUUAAAGUCACAGUUUGACAAAGCUAUUGUUGUAAUGUCAUCGAUGUCCAAAUCUGAGUGGGAUAAGAAGGUUGAUUUUUACAAGAGGUUGGGUUUGUCUGAGGAAGAUAUUCUUUCUGCCUUUAGGAAGAAUCCUUGGUGUAUGGUGACAUCUAAGGAUAAGAUAACUGGGGUGAUGGACUUUUUCGUGAAUAAAAUGGGUUGGGAGCCUUCUGCCAUUGCCCAUAGGCCAAUUCUUCUUUCAUUGAGCCUGGAGAAGAGAAUUAUUCCUCGUGCUGCAGUUGUUCAGUUUCUUUCAUCCAAAGGCUUGCUUAAGACCAAUUUUAUUUCGCUUACACCGUAUAACUUGUGUGAUGAACGCUUCCUGCAGAAGUUUGUGAAUUGCUAUGAUGAAGCUCCCCAGCUAAAGAAGCUGUACAAAGAGAAGCUGGAUCUCACAAAGAUGGUCAAGUGAUCAAUAAAUAGUGAUAAAAGAAGUAAAUGACGGAAACUGUUGCCAAAGAUCCAAAGAUUUGUGUCAGAAAUACAACCCUGGAAUUUCAAGACACAAACAGUUUGGAGAAUGCCUUUAUGCUCUAUGCAAUUGUGAAUCUGCGACACAUUGUCUUAUUAGUGAAGGUUCUCACCAUUAUUAAGAAAAUUGAUGUCUUCUGAAGAACAUGCUAAACAAAGGCAGUUUGAUCCAGCCAAAUCUAGAUUUAAUAGAUGGUGUGAUCCUUCCCAAAUUGUAGCAUGUGAUUUUGUUGGAAUUGCACUUGGGAUAUCACGAUUCAAGUUGGAAUCACUCUUGAGAGUUGAGACAAUGCAAUUCAGGCAAAAUAGUACUAUCUUGAUCUAAUCCAACUGGAAUUACAAGAGGAUACUUGCUCGAA